rnacentral:tRNA from 1 species
UAUAUGGUGGUGUAUAGUGCACGUAAAGUUUUGAUCUUUAUAGAGGUGGUGGAAUUCCAUUUCAUAUAA